UACGUAGGGUGCAAGCGUUGUCCGGAAUUAUUGGGCGUAAAGAGCUCGUAGGCGGUCUGUCGCGUCUGCUGUGAAAACUCGGGGCUUAACCCCGGGCCUGCAGUGGGUACGGGCAGACUAGAGUGCGGUAGGGGGAGACUGGAAUUCCUGGUGUAGCGGUGAAAUGCGCAGAUAUCAGGAGGAACACCGGUGGCGAAGGCGGGUCUCUGGGCAUUACCUGACGCUGAGGAGCGAAAGUGUGGGGAGCGAACAGG
rnacentral:rRNA from 1 species